rnacentral:rRNA from 1 species
UUGGUGGGGUAAUGGCCUACCAAGGCGACGACGGGUAGCCGGCCUGAGAGGGCGACCGGCCACACUGGGACUGAGACACGGCCCAGACUCCUACGGGAGGCAGCAGUGGGGAAUAUUGCACAAUGGGCGAAAGCCUGACGCAGCGACGCCGCGUGGGGGAUGAAGGCCUUCGGGUUGUAAACCUCUUUCAGCAGGGAAGAAGCGAAAGUGACGGUACCUGCAGAAGAAGCACCGGCUAACUACGUGCCAGCAGCCGCGGUAAUACGUAGGGUGCAAGCGUUGUCCGGAAUUAUUGGGCGUAAAGAGCUCGUAGGCGGUUUGUCGCGUCUGCUGUGAAAACUCGGGGCUUAACCCCGGGCCUGCAGUGGGUACGGGCAGACUAGAGUGCGGUAGGGGAGAAUGGAAUUCCCGGUGUAGCGGUGAAAUGCGCAGAUAUCAGGAGGAACACCGAUGGCGAAGGCAGGUCUCUGGGCCGAUACUGACGCUGAGGAGCGAAAGCGUGGGGAGCGAACAGGAUUAGAUACCCUGGUAGUCCACGCUGUAAACGUUGGGCGCUAGGUGUGGGGGACCUCUCCGGUUCUCUGUGCCGCAGCUAACGCAUUAAGCGCCCCGCCUGGGGAGUACGG